rnacentral:rRNA from 1 species
CCGCAGGUUCACCUACGGACACCUCGCA